UACGUAGGGUGCAAGCGUUAAUCGGAAUUACUGGGCGUAAAGCGUGCGCAGGCGGCUUUGCAAGACAGAUGUGAAAUCCCCGGGCUUAACCUGGGAACUGCAUUUGUGACUGCAUGGCUGGAGUGUGGCAGAGGGGGAUGGAAUUCCGCGUGUAGCAGUGAAAUGCGUAGAGAUGUGGAGGAACACCGAUGGCGAAGGCAGCCCCCUGGGCCAAUACUGACGCUCAUGCACGAAAGCGUGGGGAGCAAACAGG
rnacentral:rRNA from 1 species